GACCACAUCGUGGCGCAACGGUAGCGCGUCUGACUCCAGAUCAGACGGCUACGUGUUCAAAUCAAGUCGAGGUCA
rnacentral:tRNA from 1 species